GACGAACGCUGGCGGCGUGCCUAAUACAUGCAAGUCGAGCGGACAGAUGGGAGCUUGCUCCCUGAAGUCAGCGGCGGACGGGUGAGUAACACGUGGGCAACCUGCCUGUAAGACUGGGAUAACUCCGGGAAACCGGGGCUAAUACCGGGAUAACUCUUUUCCUCACAUGAGGAAAAGCUGAAAGAUGGUUUCGGCUAUCACUUACAGAUGGGCCCGCGGCGCAUUAGCUAGUUGGUGAGGUAACGGCUCACCAAGGCCACGAUGCGUAGCCGACCUGAGAGGGUGAUCGGCCACACUGGGGACUGAGACACGGGCCCAGACUCCUACGGGAGCAGCAGUAGGGAAUCUUCCGCAAUGGACAAAGCUGACGGAGCAACGCCGCGUGAGUGAUGAGUUUC
rnacentral:rRNA from 1 species